GCCUAGGUGGCUCAGUCGGUUAAGCGUCUGACUUCGGCUCGGGUCAUAAUCUCACGACUCGUGGGUUCGAGCCCCAUGUUGGGCU
rnacentral:tRNA from 1 species